rnacentral:lncRNA from 1 species
CUGGGCUCUGCGAGUGGCGUGUUGCCAGUCUCCUGCCUCACAUUAACAGGAAUACUAUAUAUUACUAAAUUCAAAGUGUUUUUCAUUCAGGACUAGAAGAAUGUAAUGGAGCAUGCAUCUGGCAGCAGGACACCAUGGCUGUGGAGAGCUGGAGAGGAGAAUGGUGUCAUCAUCUGAGGGGAAACACAAAGCAGAAAGGAAUGAGGAGGGGAAAUUUCAGUGCUUAUUUUUAGACUCCGUGGACAGAUUCAGGGGCACUUCUGACGCCUUUGGAAGCCAGAAUUCCAUUGCAAAGCACUGGAAAGGAAGGGAAAUACGGAGGUGGAAGGAAGUACUUGAGGUACACAUGAAAUACUUUCAAGUGACUGAGACCAGUGCACAGAGCUCAGCUCAUGGCCCACCUCUGGACACCAGGAACAACCUCCUGCACAUCAGGAGCAGGUCUGGACACCAGGAACAACCUCCCUAGACACCAGGAGCAACCUCCUGGACACCCCAUUAUUGACAGAUGUCUGUGGGAACCAACUGUCAGCAAUAGUAGCUGAAGCUUUUUGAAAGCUUUUUCCCGCUUGCUUUUCCUAGAACUAAAAUAAAAUGAGAACAGGAUCUGUGGCCUGGUCUAUC